rnacentral:rRNA from 1 species
GUGGGGAAUAUUGCACAAUGGGCGCAAGCCUGAUGCAGCAACGCCGCGUGAGGGAUGACGGCCUUCGGGUUGUAAACCUCUUUUAGUAGGGAAGAAGCGAAAGUGACGGUACCUGCAGAAAAAGCACCGGCUAACUACGUGCCAGCAGCCGCGGUAAUACGUAGGGUGCAAGCGUUGUCCGGAAUUAUUGGGCGUAAAGAGCUCGUAGGCGGCUUGUCGCGUCUGCUGUGAAAACCCGAGGCUCAACCUCGGGCCUGCAGUGGGUACGGGCAGGCUAGAGUGCGGUAGGGGAGAUUGGAAUUCCUGGUGUAGCGGUGGAAUGCGCAGAUAUCAGGAGGAACACCGAUGGCGAAGGCAGAUCUCUGGGCCGUAACUGACGCUGAGGAGCGAAAGCAUGGGGAGCGAACAGGAUUAGAAACCCUGGUAGUCC